CGGACGGGUGAGUAACGCGUGAGAAUCUGCCCUUAGGACGGGGACAACAGCUGGAAACGGCUGCUAAUACCCGAUGUGCCGAGAGGUGAAACAUUUUAUGGCCUGAGGAUGAGCUCGCGUCUGAUUAGCUAGUUGGUGGGGUAAGGGCCUACCAAGGCGACGAUCAGUAGCUGGUCUGAGAGGAUGAUCAGCCACACUGGGACUGAGACACGGCCCAGACUCCUACGGGAGGCAGCAGUGGGGAAUUUUCCGCAAUGGGCGCAAGCCUGACGGAGCAAGACCGCGUGCGGGAGGACGGCCUAUUGGUUGUAAACCGCUUUUGAUAGGGAAGAAGUUCUGACGGUACCUAUCGAAUCAGCAUCGGCUAACUCCGUGCCAGCAGCCGCGGUAAUACGGAGGAUGCAAGCGUUAUCCGGAAUUAUUGGGCGUAAAGCGUCCGUAGGUGGUUGUUCAAGUCUGCUGUUAAAGCGUGCGGCUUAACCGCAUACCAGCAGUGGAAACUGGGCGACUAGAGUGCGGUAGGGGUCAGGGGAAUUCCCAGUGUAGCGGUGAAAUGCGUAGAUAUUGGGAAGAACACCAGUGGCGCAAGCGUUCUGCUGGGCUGUAACUGACACUGAGGCACGAAAGCUAGGGGAGCGAAAGGGAUUAGAUACCCCUGUAGUC
rnacentral:rRNA from 1 species